UUACCACUGAAGGAGACUCUUAGAUAAACAAUCAUGCUCUUUCAACAGAAAAGACUGCUGUCGCUGCUUUGUAGCUGCUUUCUCUACCACACCUGUUCACUGACACGGUGUCACACUCAGCGUGCCUUGGGACCCUCCUUUUGUUUCUCAUCAAGAAUACAGUAUAUCAUGUUCAAAGAAGACUUCCAUGGAACCAAACAGACCUGUGUGAGAGAGCAAAUUAGUUCAGGCCGCACAUCCACAUGUGCUAGAGACAAAAUUCAUAGCCACUGUUGGUCAUCCCAGGUUUCCAAAAUGAUGUGAUCCCACCACACCUUGCUGGUUUUCCUGCAUCAGAAGCGACAGUCCACCAAAAGACAUACCAUGGUAAUACUGGUAUUCACCAUAUCCGUACCAUGUGAACUGAAUGACUGGUCAUUGACCCUCAAGGUCAGCUGUCUUCAACAUGUCACAAAGUUCUGCACAAAUUUUAUUCAGCAUCCCAUCCAGUCACCUAUUCCACUGCAUAACUAUUUGUCCUGCAAUAAGGAGUAGAACCACAUCAACAUAGUCCCAUUGUUCCAUAUCUUUCACCCAGUUUCGCAGGGAACAAGUGAAGGGAGAUGUGAUCAGGAACUGCCAUUGCAAAUGCAUGAAGGCGGGGAAAUGUGCCAACAAUACAGAGCAAAGCAGUUCCUAGAAUGUCUCCUGUGAUGCACAGAACCCUGGGAUGCUGCUCCUGAAAUGGCAGCACUAUAUCAUGCAACAGCAGAGGUCAUGAGAUAUGGGUAUAUGCAUAUACACAGUAUUAUACUUGUGUCCAGCACAUCAUAUAUGGACACGCAGUAUGGGUAUGGGGAGCAUGUGCAGGCAUGAACAUGGUCCAGUAACUGAGUAUAUGCACCAUUGUAGAGAUAGCCUAAAUCACACAUGCUCCUGGAACAGGGGUUGGGGCGAAGGGGUGUCACACUUGGACAAGAGGUGCUUAUUGGCCCCUUCACUCCUGUUCAUGGAAUGAGUCUUGAAUUUGAGAUAUUAGUAGACAGAGUCCAGACCAGUAGAGAUUGUAUGACUUGCAAUGAUUUUAAGAAGAGAUAGAUGGUGUUUAGGGAAGAAAAACGGGUACUGUACAUGCUGCAUGAACCCUUACACAUUCAGUUUAAAAUAGAUUUAUACAUUCUUUUUGUGUCAGAAUCUUGCAUUUAAAAAACAUUGUAACAAAAAUAAUCUACAUUUGUAAAUUGUACUUUCAAGAUAAAGAAAUUGCGCUACAGUACAUGUAUGAGGUGAACUGAAAAAUACUAUUUUGAACUUGGUUCUAGCCCACGAAAGCUUAUGCCCAAAUAAAUUUGUUAGUCUCUAAGGUGCAACAAGG